rnacentral:rRNA from 1 species
GACGAACGCUGGCGGCGUGCCUAAUACAUGCAAGUCGAGCGAAGUUUUUCUGGUGCUUGCACUAGAAAAACUUAGCGGCGAACAGGUGAGUAACACGUAAAGAACCUGCCUCAUAGACUGGGACAACUAUUGGAAACGAUAGCUAAUACCGGAUAACAGUAUUUCUCGCAUGAGAGAUAUUUAAAAGUUGGUUAUGCUAACACUAUGAGAUGGCUUUGCGGUGCAUUAGCUAGUUGGUGGGGUAAAGGCCCACCAAGGCGACGAUGCAUAGCCGACCUGAGAGGGUGAUCGGCCACACUGGGACUGAGACACGGCCCAGACUCCUACGGGAGGCAGCAGUAGGGAAUCUUCCGCAAUGGGCGAAAGCCUGACGGAGCAACGCCGCGUGAGUGAAGAAGGAUUUCGGUUCGUAAAGCUCUGUUGUUAGGGAAGAAUGGAUAUGUAGUAACUAUACAUGUAAGAGACGGUACCUAACCAGAAAGCCACGGCUAACUACGUG